rnacentral:rRNA from 1 species
AGAGUUUGAUCCUGGCUCAGGACGAACGCUGGCGGCAUGCCUAACACAUGCAAGUCGAACGAGAAAGUUCCUUCGGGAGCAAUUAAAGUGGCGCACGGGUGAGUAACGCGUAGACAAUCUGCCCUUCAGUCUGGGACAACUUUUCGAAAGGAGAGCUAAUACCGGAUAACAAUGCAUGACACAGGUUGUAUAUUUGAAAGCUUUAUGUGCUGAAGGAGGGGUCUGCGUUCGAUUAGCUAGUUGGUAAGGUAACGGCUUACCAAGGCGUCGAUCGAUAGCCGGCCUGAGAGGGUGAUCGGCCACACUGGGAUUGAGAUAAGGCCCAGUCUCCUACGGGAGCCAGCAGUCUAGAAAUUUGGGCAAUGGGCGAAAGCCUGACCCAGCGACACCGCGUGGGGGAUGAAGCUCCUCGGAGUGUAAACCCCUGUUAGGUGGGACGAAUCCCCGAUUGCAAAUAGUGAUCGGGGUUGACGGUACCACCAGAGGAAGCUCCGGCUAACUCCGUGCCAGCAGCCGCGGUAAUACGGGGGGAGCGAGCGUUGUUCGGAUUUAUUGGGCGUAAAGGGCGUACAGGCGGUAGUGUAAGUCAGAUGUGAAAUGCUUCGGCUCAACCGAGGACCUGCAUUUGAUACUGCAUUACUUGAGUACAGGAGAGGAGAGCGGAAUUCUCGGUGUAGCGGUGGAAUGUGUAGAUAUCGGGAAGAACACCAGUGGCGAAGGCGGCUCUCUGGCCGAUACUGACGCUGAGGAGCGAAAGCAUGGGGAGCAAACAGGAUUAGAUACCCUGGUAGUCCAUGCCGUAAACGUUGGGCACUAGGUGUGGGGUGUAGUCAACACAUUCCGCGCCGCAGCUAACGCAUUAAGUGCCCCGCCUGGGGAGUACGGCCGCAAGGCUAAAACUCAAAGGAAUUGACGGGGGCCCGCACAAGCGGCGGAGCAUGUUGCUUAAUUCGAGGCAACGCGAAGAACCUUACCUGGGUUUGACAUGUAGGGAAAAGCCGUAGAGAUACGGUGUCCUUCGGGGCCCUACACAGGUGGUGCAUGGCUGUCGUCAGCUCGUGUCGUGAGAUGUUGGGUUAAGUCCCGCAACGAGCGCAACCCUUGUCCUAUGUUGCCAGCGGGUAAUGCCGGGGACUCGUAGGAGACUGCCGGGGUCAACUCGGAGGAAGGUGGGGACGACGUCAAGUCAUCAUGCCCCUUAUGUCCAGGGCUGCAAACAUGCUACAAUGGCCGGUACAAAGGGCUGCUAUACCGCGAGGUUGAGCGAAUCCCAGAAAGCCGGUCUCAGUUCGGAUUGGAGUCUGCAACUCGACUCCAUGAAGUCGGAGUCGCUAGUAAUCCCGGAUCAGCAACGCCGGGGUGAAUACGUUCCCGGGCCUUGUACACACCGCCCGUCACACCACGAAAGUCGGCAACACCCGAAGCCAGUGGUCCAACCCCUCGGGGAGGAAGCUGUCGAAGGUGGGGUCGGUGAUUGGGGUGAAGUCGUAACAAGGUAGCC